rfam:Mustela putorius furo unplaced genomic scaffold scaffold00097, whole genome shotgun sequence.
UUUUUAGUAUAAGUAUGUCCCAUGCAAUAUUUGGGUUAUAUUUACAUACUAAAA